ACGACUGCUAAGACUGGAUAGGAGACAAGAGGGCAUCUUCUUGUUUUUAAAAGACCUAGCAAUAGGUAUGCUUAGGGAGGAGCUUGCGUCACAUUAGUUAGUUGGUGGGGUAAAGGCCUAACAAGACUAUGAUGUGUAGCCGGGCUGAGAGGUUGAACGGCCACAUUGGGACUGAGACACGGCCCAAACUCCUACGGGAGGCAGCAGUAGGGAAUUUUCGGCAAUGGAGGAAACUCUGACCGAGCAACGCCGCGUGAACGAUGGAGUAUUUCGGUACGUAAAGUUCUUUUAUUAGGGAAGAAUAAAUGAUGGAAAAAUCAUUCUGACGGUACCUAAUGAAUAAGCCCCGGCUAACUAUGUGCCAGCAGCCGCGGUAAUACAUAGGGGGCAAGCGUUAUCCGGAAUUAUUGGGCGUAAAGGGUGCGUAGGCGGUUAAAUAAGUUUAUGGUCUAAGUGCAAUGCUCAACAUUGUGAUGCUAUAAAAACUGUUUAGCUAGAGUAAGAUAGAGGCAAGUGGAAUUCCAUGUGUAGUGGUAAAAUGCGUAAAUAUAUGGAGGAACACCAGUAGCGAAGGCGGCUUGCUGGGUCUUUACUGACGCUGAGGCACGAAAGCGUGGGGAGCAAACAGGAUUAGAUACCCUGGUAGUCCACGCCGUAAACGAUGAGUACUAAACGUUGGGUAAAACCAGUGUUGAAGUUAACACAUUAAGUACUCCGCCUGAGUAGUACGUACGCAAGUAUGAAACUUAAAGGAAUUGACGGGACUCCGCACAAGCGGUGGGUCAUGUUGUUUAAUUCGAAGGUACCCGAAAAACCUCACCAGGUCUUGACAUGCUUCUGCAAAGCUGUAGAAACACAGUGGAGGUUAUCAGUUGCACAGGUGGUGCAUGGUUGUCGUCAGCUCGUGUCGUGAGAUGUUGGGUUAAGUCCCGCAACGAGCGCAACCCUUAUUGUUAGUUACCAGCACGUAAUGGUGGGGACUUUAGCAAGACUGCCAGUGAUAAAUUGGAGGAAAGUGGGGACGACGUCAAAUCAUCAUGCCCCUUAUGACCUGGGCUACAAACGUGAUACAAUGGCUGUUACAAAGGGUAGCUGAAGCGCAAGUUUUUGGCGAAUCUCAAAAAAACAGUCUCAGUUCGGAUUGAAGUCUGCAACUCGACUUCAUGAAGUUGGAAUCGCUAGUAAUCGCGAAUCAGCAUGUCGCGGUGAAUACGUUCUCGGGGUUUGUACACACCGCCCG
rnacentral:rRNA from 1 species